rnacentral:lncRNA from 1 species
CUACAGUGCCAAGAAUUGUCAUACUCUGGAGAAGCAAUCAGAGUCCUCAAGCUGCCUUUCGGUCUGCUGGAACAGAAGGUGCUGACAGGGGUGGGAGUGAAGGAAGGCCUCCUUUCAGUUUACUAAUUCUGCAGCCGCCCUCCACAAACUCCAGCAAAUAUUUUGUGAUGUUGCAAGGUGUUACGAGAAGUGCAAAGCAAGCUGUGAUUCAGCUGGUAUGAAGACUUUGCAAACAAAAAAGGGUGAUCCGUUUUGCAGCAGGCUAUUACUUCUGCCAGAGUCCUCAGACUGGAAUACUAAAAGAGAGAUUUCUGCAAGACAUUGCCAUCAUACAUGCUGGAUUUUCUAAACAAGACCAAUUUAAAAUAAUUUGGCCCAGUAGGUUCCAACUUGUGGCCCUCAGACCUCCAGGCACUGCAAGGAAUCUGCAAACCCAUGUGAGUGUUCUCUCAGUAGAUCGAGUGCAAUAUGUGCUCA